AUUGAACGCUGGCGGCAUGCCUUACACAUGCAAGUCGAACGGCAGCACGGGAGCAAUCCUGGUGGCGAGUGGCGAACGGGUGAGUAAUGUAUCGGAAUGUACCUUUCAGUGGGGGAUAACGUAGCGAAAGUUACGCUAAUACCGCAUAUUCUGUGAGCAGGAAAGCAGGGGAUCGCAAGACCUUGCGCUGAUUGAGCGGCCGAUAUCAGAUUAGCUAGUUGGUGAGGUAAAGGCUCACCAAGGCGACGAUCUGUAGCGGGUCUGAGAGGAUGAUCCGCCACACUGGAACUGAGACACGGUCCAGACUCCUACGGGAGGCAGCAGUGGGGAAUUUUGGACAAUGGGCGCAAGCCUGAUCCAGCCAUGCCGCGUGAGUGAAGAAGGCCUCGGUUG
rnacentral:rRNA from 1 species